UCUCGGUGAUGAGCAAAUUAUGAUGACGAGUCUGAUUAUCCAUUCUUUCUAAAAUCAUGACGACGAAUCGAGGCAUUUGUCUGAGAGGA
rnacentral:snoRNA from 1 species